UGUUUUCUAAUUUUUCCGGAAUUUCGUCUAUCAUAUCGUUGCUAAUCGUAGCAUCUUCUUCAUGUGAAUGUAUUUUGCAACUCACAUCCCCAAUCCAUGCAGCUGCAUUACCACAAUCACAACAACCGCCGCUACCGGCACUAACUGUAAACGAAGUUUCAUGAUCCUUAUGACUAGUUGCACGAAAACAUUUCACGCACAGCGCUGAAUUGCUAUCAACACUACACGUUUUGCAUCGAUAGAAUACUUCACCCUUUCGAAAUAUAUGGCCACAUUUUGACUCACAGGUUCCAUGACGAUACUCAUCUCCCUCACUGUGUCCUUGAGCACGACGGAGAAGAAAGGAGGCAUCGAUGGUUGGUCUCUCUGGAAGCAAUGUAUUCCACAAGGUAUGGUCAUAUCCGAGAAGCGCAGAAAAGACUUCAUUCAGAAGGGAUUUUUUAGCAGAUUCUGACCAUAGAAAUGAAUACAUCAAUGCAUGAGACUGUAAAAAUAAUGAAAGCCGUCUCCGAAUCAAUGCGCUUCUAGGCAACGAUCUGCUAGACUCGUCUUGUAACAUGGCAUGCUACAAAUAAUA